rnacentral:rRNA from 1 species
GCGGAAACUCGCCUACAUGAAGCUGGAGUUACUAGUAAUCGCAGAUCAGAAUGCUGCGGUGAAUGCGUUCCCGGGUCUUGUACACACCGCCCGUCACACCACGGGAGUUGGAGACGCCCGAAGCCGACUAUCUAACCUUUUGGAAGAAGUCGUCGAAGGUGGAAUCAAUAACUGGGGUGAAGUCGUAACAAGGUAGCCGUAUCGGAAGGUGCGGCUGGAUCACCUCCUUUCUAAGGAGA